rnacentral:rRNA from 1 species
UACGGAGGGUGCAAGCGUUAUCCGGAUUCACUGGGUUUAAAGGGUGCGUAGGAGGGCAGGUAAGUCAGGGGUGAAAUCCCGCGGCCCAACCGUGGAACUGCCUUUGAUACUGGCGAACUUGAGUGCGUGAGGGGUAGGGGGAACGAGCAGUGUAGCGGUGAAAUGCGUAGAUAUUGCUCGGAAGGCCAGAGCCGAAGGGGCCCUACUGGUGCGCAACUGACACUGAGGCACGAAAGCGUGGGGAGCAAACAGG